UGCAUGUGGAAUCACGUUUCUUGAAACGAAGCUAUGAAGAAAUUAGAAUAAAUUAUUUUCAAACAAAUUGCCUAGUGAAUGGUACUUAUUGUUUUUCAGAUUCAACUUAAUCAGGCAUUUAGCUAACUUCCAUAAUAAAAUAUCGGUUAAAAACAACAGUAGGACUAAAUCUCUCAUUCAAGCAUCAAGUUUCAAAAAUUUUGAGGCUCAUAUAUGUUUUUACGCCGUUUAGAGUUUUAGUUCCUGAAUAAUAUGAUAGGUUUUCAACUUCUUUUCUUGAACUACUAAGCAGGUCGUCAUGAAAUUCUUUCUGGUGCUGAAGGUGCUGAUGGUGACGGUGCUGGCCAUAUGUUCGGCAGCUCCUCAGCUCGUCACCACGCAACGCAAGUUCCCAGGACAGCGACGUCUGGGUGCCACGCGCUACAAGUUGCACACAUUCGGCAAAAAUGGCUACAAAAAUGUGGUUCAAGCCAGGCGAAAUGGCUGAGCAAGGUUAUAAUGGAGCAAGCUCGUGGUGAACGAUAAGGAACUAACCAAUUAAAUUAUAUUUAUUAAUUAUUUAGAGAAAGAUAUGCUGUGUAAGUUCGCGUAGAAGUUCAAUAAAUCGCUUUGCCUAAACAAAAACUCAAGGUAGUAUAUUAGCAUUGAGAAUCCAUGAUAAGUACAAAUAUUUAUGUAAAAAGGAAUGCCUUAUAAUAUAAAAUUAAGAAUCAAUUUAAUUAAAAUAGGCAUUGGAUAACUGUAAGGCUUGAAACUUGCUCAAGAACCUUGAUUUUUAAUAAUCAUCUAUACUUCUAAUAAUUCGAAUUUCUUUAUUUUUAUAACAUUUGGAGAUUGUGAACAUAAUAACUUAGUUAUUUUGUUGACUUUUGUUAUAAUGAAUUUCAUCAACGCAAAUAAUUCUAUUAGACAAAUCCUCUGAUUAUACAUUUUUUUU
rnacentral:lncRNA from 1 species